GCGCUCGUGGUGAAAUUGGCAUACACGCCAGCUUGAGGUGCUGGUGGCGAAAGCCGUGGAGGUUCGAGUCCUCUCGAGCGCA
rnacentral:tRNA from 1 species